CAGAGGAGAUGAAUGGUAAUUUACAACGUCUACUUUGUAAAAGGAGACAUAAAACAAGUUAUAUUGAACAGCAUAAUGGGCUCUCAUAUAACAAACAGCAUAAGGGGUUCUCAUAUAACAAACAACGAGCAAUACUGAACAGCAUAAUGUGUUCUAACUACAUUACAGGUGUGUGGUUAAGAUGUUGUUUGGCCUAAACAGAUCUGUUUAGCCUGUUUCCUUAAUAAAUAAAAAAAAAAGACCCAUUUUGCUUAAUUAGACUAUAACUUAAAUAAAAUCAGAGACUAUCCAAAAUAUGAUCACAUUGAUACAAUAUAGACACCUCGUGGUGGGUUACUAUGCAAUGCAUGCAGAGAACUCAUAUGCAAUCUCCAAAUAGACGCCCUAACCCUUUCCAAUUAUCGAGUCUACUUUGUUUCACAUAAAAAAACAUCUGUAAGUUUUAGACAUUCAAUGCACAAUGAAAUUGUACAUACAGAUGAAAUAAAAACAUGCCACAAAAGUACAUUUGAACAUUUAUUUAUUAUAAUUAAAAUAUGAACCUAGAAAACAGCCUAUAAACACUAUUUACAUGAUAGCUAGCAGUGACGUUGGUUUUAGAGUCUAGAACCAUAAAAACAUACACUUAUUUUCCAGUAGUGAUUGUUGUCGUUGUUGUUGUUGUUUUGGCCGCUGAGGGAAAACGGUUGAAUCUUUUGGGGGGGGGGGGCAUUGUAAGACCAUGGUAAAGCAAUCAAUCCAUAUUUUAGAUAGCGUUUGCUUGUGAUAAAACAGACAGUCCUACUAUACACAUUUUCCUGAGCUGAGAGACUAAACCGAUAACAUGGAAGUGAUGAGGUAUGUAUCAUGUUUGGAUUUUACUCUGGUCAGGACUGUUUCUAGUACAUUUCAUUAUUGAUGAGCAGCCAAUUCUCAUUGUUCCAGUUGGUUGCUUGAUAGUCUUUACUCAAGCUGGGGCUACAACAGGCCAAUCUCUGGACAACAGGGGUCGUCCAACAGGCCAAUCCCUGGGCAACAUGUGUCAUCCAACAGGCCAAUCCCUGGGCAACAUGGGUCAUCCUACAACAGGGGUCAUCCAACCGGCCAAUCUCUGGACAACAUGGGUCAUCCUACAACAGGGGUCAUCCAACAGGCCAAUCUCUGGACAACAUGGGUCAUCCUACAACAGGGGUCAUCCAACAGGCCAAUCCCUGGGCAACAUGUGUCAUCCAACAGGCCAAUCCCUGGGCAACAUGGGUCAUCCUACAACAGGGGUCAUCCAACCGGCCAAUCUCUGGACAACAUGGGUCAUCCUACAACAGGGGUCAUCCAACAGGCCAAUCUCUGGACAACAUGGGUCAUCCUACAACAGGGGUCAUCCAACAGGCCAAUCUCUGGACAACNNNNNNNNNNAUUACGGUACAGAGUCAAUGUGGAGGCUAUAUACAGGGUAUUACGGUACAGAGUCAAUGUGGAGGCUAUAUACAGGGUAUUACGGUACAGAGUCAAUGUGGAGACUAUAUACAGGGUAUUACGGUACAGAGUCAAUGUGGAGGCUAUAUACAGGGUAUUACGGUACAGAGUCAAUGUGGAGGCUAUAUACAGGGUAUUACGGUACAGAGUCAAUGUGGAGGCUAUAUAUCUUGGACCUCGACUUGGCGCUCCGGUACUACUUGCCGUGCGGUAGCAGAGAGAACCGUCUAUGA
rnacentral:lncRNA from 13 species